GAUGAACGCUGGCGGCGUGCCUAAUACAUGCAAGUCGAGCGAACAGACGAGGAGCUUGCUCCUCUGACGUUAGCGGCGGACGGGGGAGUAACACGUGGAUAACCUACCUAUAAGACUGGGAUAACUUCGGGAAACCGGAGCUAAUACCGGAUAAUAUAUUGAACCGCAUGGUUCAAUAGUGAAAGACGGUUUUGCUGUCACUUAUAGAUGGAUCCGCGCCGCAUUAGCUAGUUGGUAAGGUAACGGCUUACCAAGGCAACGAUGCGUAGCCGACCUGAGAGGGUGAUCGGCCACACUGGAACUGAGACGCGGUCCAGACUCCUACGGGAGGCAGCAGUAGCGAAUCUUCCGCAAUGGGCGAAAGCUUGACGGAGCAACGCCGCGUGAGUGAUGAAGGUCUUCGGAUCGUAAAACUCUGUUAUUAGGGAAGAACAAAUGUGUAAGUAACUAUGCACGUCUUGACGGUACCUAAUCAGAAAGCCACGGCUAACUACGUG
rnacentral:rRNA from 1 species